rnacentral:pre_miRNA from 1 species
UAAUCUCAUGCGGUAACUCUGAGAGAGUGUAUGUCUCUCGGAGUGUCACGUGAGAUAUG